GCCCAGGAAGCGUGUGUAGUCCACGAAGUAGAAGACCGAGGAGAAGCUCAAGUACAGGAAACUGUCUAUGGGACGAUCUGGCCAUCGGGGACAGGAGUUGACAUAGUAGCCCAUGGACAACAUGCUCAUAAUGUGCUCCACUUGAAGACGAGCAAGUGGUGGCCACGAUGGUGAUCAUGUUAAUGUGCUGCGCCAGGGAUCUGCGCUCUUUGGGCAACUUCAGAGGCGGCAACUUGGCCUCCACCAACUGCCAUGACUGAGCUAUUUCUGGCCACUUUCUGGCCAGUUGAAAAAACGACAAAGAGAUAAGGAAUAUGGACAAGUAGAAGACCAGGGUCUCCACCGAAUCAAAAUUAAAGGACACACUUGUCACAAAGGCCACCAUAUAUCCAGAGCUAACACCAAAAAACAGGAUGGUUACCAGGGCGUAAUAGGAUCGAACGCUGAACCAGGUGAAGGUUAGGUCUUCUGCGAACUUGGAGCUCACUUUUCGAACUGGCAUCAAAGCAAAGAUCUGCGCGAUUAUGAGGACUGAAAGAAACUCGUAUAAGAAGUAAAAAAAAAUGUAGUAAGCUUAAAAACAUUACCAGGCUUGAUGGCUUCCUGGAAAGAUCCACUGUACUUAUAAUCCUCCUGUCUGAUGCGAAGAAGCCAAGCUUUUACUG
ensembl:ncRNA asRNA:CR45042 antisense RNA:CR45042